rnacentral:rRNA from 1 species
GACGAACGCUGGCGGCGUGCUUAACACAUGCAAGUCGAACGAAGUGGCGAACGGGUGAGUAACGCGUAAUCAACCUGCCCUUCAGAGGGGGACAACAGUUGGAAACGACUGCUAAUACCUCAUACUGAAGGAGGUGAUUGCGUCUGAGUAGCUAGUUGGAGGGGUAACGGCCCACCAAGGCGAGGAUCAGUAGCCAGUCUGGGAGGAUGACCGGCCACAUUGGGACUGAGACACCGCCCUUACUGAUAAGGGAGGCAGGAGUGGGGAAUAUUGGACAAUGGACCAAAGUCUGAUCCAGCAAUUCUGUGUGCACGAUGAAGUUUUUCGGAAUGUAAAGUGCUUUCAGUUGGGAAGCGGUACCAACAGAAGAAGUGACGGCUAAAUACGUGCCAGCAGCCGCGGUAAUAC